AUGUGUCUCCAUGAGGUAUUGACAGAGUUCUGGCAGCAUCAGCAAAAUCGUCCUGAUUUCUCUGAGUCACCUUUCUCAGACAUUGAAAAGGAAGUUUUAGGUAUGGGCAUGAGAAGCAAUGUGAGAGUAUCUGUGUUUUCAGGGUCCCUCUCUCAACCUGCUCUGACUCAAGAAUCUUCUGCAUCUGCCUCCCUGAAAACCUCAGUAAAGCUCACCUGUACGCUGAGCAGUGGCUACAGUAGCUAUGUUGUGGGAUGGUACCAGCAGAGCCAAGGAAAAGGCCCCCGGUUUGUGAUGCGUGUGGGUCCCAAUGGUCAAGUUGGAUCCAAGGGAGACGGGAUCCCUGAUCGCUUCUCAGUAUCAGGUUCUGGCCUGGAUCGGUUCCUGACCAUCCAGAACAUCCAAGCAGAAGAUGAGGCUGACUACAUCUGUGGGGUUGACCAUGGUACUGGGAGCAGCUACGUGUAA